UACGUAGGGGGCAAGCGUUGUCCGGAUUUAUUGGGCGUAAAGAGCGUGUAGGCGGCUUUACAGGUCCGUUGUGAAAACUCGAGGCUCAACCUCGAGACGUCGGUUGAAACCGUCUGGCUAGAGUCCGGAAGAGGAGAGUGGAAUUCCCGGUGUAGCGGUGAAAUGCGCAGAUAUCGGGAAGAACACCCGUGGCGAAGGCGGCUCUCUGGGACGGUACUGACGCUGAGACGCGAAAGCGUGGGGAGGCGAACGAGG
rnacentral:rRNA from 1 species